rnacentral:rRNA from 1 species
GACGAACGCUGGCGGCGUGCUUAACACAUGCAAGUCGAACGGAAAGGCCCUGCUUUUGUGGGGUGCUCGAGUGGCGAACGGGUGAGUAACACGUGAGUAACCUGCCCUUGACUUUGGGAUAACUUCAGGAAACUGGGGCUAAUACCGGAUAGGAGCUCCUGCUGCAUGGUGGGGGUUGGAAAGUUUCGGCGGUUGGGGAUGGACUCGCGGCUUAUCAGCUUGUUGGUGGGGUAGUGGCUUACCAAGGCUUUGACGGGUAGCCGGCCGGAGAGGGUGACCGGCGACAUUGGGACUGAGAUACGGCCCAGACUCCUACGGGAGGCAGCAGUGGGGAAUAUUGCACAAUGGGCGGAAGCCUGAUGCAGCAACGCCGCGUGCGGGAUGACGGCCUUCGGGUUGUAAACCGCUUUCGCCUGUGACGAAGCGUGAGUGACGGUAAUGGGUAAAGAAGCACCGGCUAACUACGUG